UACGUAGGGUGCAAGCGUUGUCCGGAAUUAUUGGGCGUAAAGAGCUCGUAGGCGGUCUGUCGCGUCGGCUGUGAAAUCCCGAGGCUCAACCUCGGGUCUGCAGUCGAUACGGGCAAACUAGAGUAUUGCAGGGGAGACUGGAAUUCCUGGUGUAGCGGUGAAAUGCGCAGAUAUCAGGAGGAACACCGGGGGCGAAGGCGGGUCCCGGGGCAAUAACUGACGCGAGGAGCGAAAGCGUGGGGAGCGAACAGG
rnacentral:rRNA from 1 species